GGGGAUAAGACUGUCCAGGAAGGCGAUAAAGAAGAGCGUAGAAAAUAGAACCAUGCAAAUUCAAAAUUGAAACUGAGAAGGAGAACUCAGAAACUAAAAAGGAAUAGCUAGCAAAAAAGGGGAGGUAGUAUCCCAGAAGAAAAACACUGCGGGAGUGAGGGGUUGAAAAGAAUACAGCCAACUGCAGCAUCCAGUGGUGCAACAAGCUUAAGUAAUAGGAGAAUAAAAACGUGCUCAGAGAUGCUGGCCACUGAGAUUUCAUGGUGGGCUUAAAGAGAGCAUUCUUGGAAGGCUGACGUGGCUGAGAGAAUAGGAAGAAGAGUCAGUGAACAUAAACAACACUUAUGAAAGCAUCUGAUGAUGGGCUGGGAGGGGCGUAGUGAAGGGUCUGAACAAGAGAAUAGGUUGAGGGAACAGACCAUCUUUCCAUUUUUGGAAAUAAAAUUUUGUUUCUGAUAUAAAUACAGGGAUUUAAUCUGAAAUGCUUCUGUAGUACGUUAAGUUAGAAGGUUUCAAGGCUAUAGCUUUACAAUGACAAAAUAGAAAUAAAUAGACAAAAUCAAUGUAAUUAGCCACUUGAAAUAAUUUAUCUUAAGCUUACACACCAGCAUCUAAUGUUUUUUGAGUGCUAAUAGAUUUAAUUUGCUCUGGUUAAAAUUUUUCAAUAAAUACCCAUUAAAUAUCAUAAAUACUAAUUACAUUUUUUUCUGUGAAUAUUUUAUAUUCUGUACUCUGUUGAUGAUAUAUGCCAUGUGUAAUGUUUAGUUUAACAUUAAGUUAGAAUGAAUCUUCUUCAGAAUAUGCUAGCAUAUUUCUUAGAAAUACAAGAAACAUUUUCCCUAUGAUAGACAUUUUUGAAUGGAACUUUUAUAAAUACUAACACUAAAGGUGAAGACAACUUCUGUAAAUUAGAAUCAGUAUUAAUGUUAAAUGUUAUGGUUUAGAAAUAGAAACAAGUAUAAAAAGUCACAAAAGUUGUUGUUACAAACUAUCUUAAAAGGAUUUCUAUUUCUACUGCUAGAGCCUGCCAUGAAGGAAAUGGUGAUCAGAUACUUCAAAUUUGAUUUUAGAUUUAAACAACUUGAGAAAACUGCAGUUACUCAUGACUCCCUUUAUCCAAAAGUUCUACAUUCCCGUAUUUUUUAAGGGCGUAUCCUGGGUUCCCUUCUCUUUUCUGAUUAUCAUUCUUAAAGCUUGGUGUAUUGCCUGUAUUCACUCCUGAUGAGGAGUGAAUUUAUAUUUCUAGCAAACACCAGUAAUCUGAAUUAAUGGAUCUAAUGCCUCUUUCUCCUCCUUUUCCUCUACCUUCUGCUCCUACUUCACAACCACUUUAGUUUAAUCGAAAAAUAAUUGACAUUUAAUAUUGACAAUAUACGUUUUGGGUAUGAAAAGUAGUACAACCCCACUGGAAAACAGUUUGGCAACUUCCUAAAAAUUUAAACAUGUGCCUACCUUACAAUUCAGCCAUUUCAUUCCUAGGUAUUUUUUUCAAGAGAAAUUGAAAUGUAUGUCCAUACAAAGGCUUAUAUAUAAAUGGCUAUAGCAACUUUAAAACUUUAAAACUGUAAAAACACAAAUGCCCAAAAGUGAAUGAAUAAGGUUCAUUUUGAGUAAGGGAAUGUGACAUAUUCCUACAAUGGAAUACCACUGCUCAACAAUAAGGAAUGAAUUGAUGAUGCACAUGAAAUAUGGAUGAAUCUUAAAAGAUAUGUUGAGUGAAAAAAGCCAGGUAAAAGUAUCAAACUUUUUUCCAAUGACUAUUUAAAUUUACCUUGCUGAUUUGUAUUUUAUGACCUAUAGUCCAGAAUGUUUCUGAGUACUACGGGAACAUUUCAUUUAUUAUAUCAAAUGAUUUCAUUUAUAUGAAAGUUUAGAAUAUAUAAGCUGAUAUAUAACAACAUAAAGCAUAUUUUGGUUGCCUGGGGACUUUUGAGGGAAUGGGGAGAGUGGGAGAAAUUGCAGAAGGCUCCAGAAAUAUUUUGGGCAAUCAUUACAUCCCUUGUUCUGCUUGUGGUAAUAAUUUUAUGACUGAACACAUAAGUCAAAACCUACAAAUUGUACAAUUUAAAUAUGUGCAGCGUAUUAUAUGUCAAUUUCUCUUUUAUUAAGCCAAAAAGAAAAGGUAAGAUUAGAAGGAGGAGGAGGAGAAGGAGGAAAAAAGUAGAGCCAUAAAUUUAGAGUAGUGGUAUUUGCUAGAAAUAUAAAUUAAGCCAGGUGCAAUGGUGCACACCUGUAAUCCCAGCAACUGGAGAGGCUGAGGUGGGAAGACUGCAAGUUUGAGGUCAUCCUUGGCAACUCAACGAGGACCUAAGCAACUCAGCAGGACCCUAUCUCAAUUUUUAAAAAAGUAAAAAAGCUCUGGGGAUGGUGGUAAAGUAUUCCUGGGUUCAAUCCUCAGUGCUCCUCCCCCCAAAAAAAUUCAGUCCUCACCAAUGUGUAAAGCUUUUGUGAAUGAAUGAAACCACCUACAUAGAAAUUAGUCAGAAAAGAGAAGGGGAUCCAGGGUACAGUUUCAAGAAAGACCAAAAUGUAAACGUUUAGGGUGAAGCCCAGUGUAAUGGUGCAUGCCUGUAAUCCCAGUGACUCAGGAGUGUGAGACAAGAAGAUCACAAGUUCAAAGGCAGCCUAAGCAAUUUAGCAAGGCCCCAAGCAACUCAGUGAGACCCUGUCUCUGAAAUACAAAAUAGGGCUGAGGGUGUGGUUCAGUGGGCAAGUGUCCCUGAGUUCAAUCCCUGGUACAUAAAGAAAGAAAGGAAGGAAGGGAAAGAGGGAGCGAGGAAAGAAAGAUAGUUUAGGAUGAAAGGUGGAGGGAGGAGUCAUGACAAAUUGUUCAGUUUUCUUGAAUUCUUUAAAUCCAAAAUCAAAUUUGAAGCAUAUGAUCAUCAUUUCAUUCACUGCAGACUGUACCAGUAGGAACACACAUCCCUUUAAGAGAGUUUGUAACUUUUGUAACACGGAUGGCUUUUAUAGUCAUUCUUAUUACUAAACUGUAGUUUGUUGCUCCCCUUCCUUGUCAACACUUAAUAUGGCUAAUAUUAUAACUUUAAUUCUCAUAGAUGUGUGGUGUUAUUUAUGUGAUUUUCUUUUGCAUAUCUCUAAUAACCAAUGAUGGUAAACAUGUUUUCUGUGCUUAUUUGCUGUCUAUAUUCAUUUUGGGUAAAGUGUUUGUUCAAUUCUUCUGUCAUUUUUAAAUUGGGUGAAUUAUUGUCUUAAUUUUGAGUUUUAAGAAAAAUGGAACAUAAUUGUUUUCCCUGGAUAUAAAUUAUUUAGCAGAUAUAUACUUUGCAAAUACUUUCUUCCAUUCAGGGUUUUUUCUUCAUUGUCUUUCAAGAAACAGACAUCUUUAAUUUUGAUGACAUACAACUACAAUUUUUCUGGAUUUUUGCAUCAUGCUUUUGGUGUCAUAUCUGAAAAUUAUUUGCCUAAACAAGGUCACAUUGAUUUUUUUACUUGUACAAGUUUUAAAGUUUUACAUCCUAUGUUGAGGCUUAGGUUCAUUUUGAAUUUUGAAUUAAUUUUUUUUAUGGUUUGAGAUAUAUAUGAAUUUAUUUUCCUGAACAUACAUAUGCAAUGGUUCCAGAAUUAUUUUUUGAAAAGGAAUUUUUCUUAACUGAAUUUUCUCUUCACAUUUGUCAAAGUGAUAGUUAUCUAUAUAUGUAAAGUUUUACUUCCGCACUCUCCAUCCUGUUCCAUAGAUUUGUUUAUUUAUUUUCAUGCCAAAACCAUACUGUUCAUUUUAUCUAUCUUGACAUUAGGCAGUGUUAAUCUUCAAAUUUUUUUUAAAGUUGUUUUGGCUAAUAUAGGUCUUUCCAUUUCCAUAUGAAUUUUUAAAUUAGGUCAGUGAAGUUCUCUUUUUUAAUUAUCUUUUUUUUAGCAUUUCAUUUUGAUUAUUCCUAUUGCCAUAUUUUCAAGUCCAUGAAUCUUUUAUCCUGUGAUGACUAAUCUGCUGUUCAUCUAAUUUGAUGUAUAACAUUUUUAUCUUGGUCAUUAUGGUUUUCGUCUCUGAAAGUUUUAUUUUGUCAUUUUCAUAUCUCCCAUAUCUUUACUUCAGUUUCUUAAAAUGUGGGAAAAUAGUCUUGUGUGCUAACCCUAACAUCUGUGUCAUUUCUGGGUUGGGUUCAGUUGAUUAAUUUUAUUCUUGGUUUUUAAAAUUUCUUGUGAAUGAGUCAUAAUUUCCUACUUCUUUGUAUGACUGGUAGUUUUUUAUUAGAUGCCAGGCAUUGUGCAUUUUACCUUCUUGGAUGUUGUAUAUUUUUGUAUUCUCAUAAAUAUUUUUGAGCUUUGUUCUGGGGAAUAGUUAAAUUAUUUGGAAAUAAUUUGAUCCUUUCUUUUCUUACAUUCUAGAUUUGUUAAGUGGGACCAGAGCUGUGUUUAGUCUACUGCAUCCCAUUGUUGGGAAAAGAUCCUCCAAAGUGCUUACCCACUGCCUUGGAAACAUGAGGUUUUCCUGUCUAGUUGGUAUGAGAAGAACUUUUCCCAGCCCUAUGUAAACUCCAAGAACCAUUGUCUCUAAUCCUUUUAGUUUUUUUUUCCUAGUCCUGAGGGGGGAAUGAUCACAUGUUACAUGCAUAUGACGAUCAGUGUUCCCCUGAAUGAUCUAGAAGAGUUCUCUUCAGAUUUCCACACUUGUAUCUCAGUGCAGCUCUCCCCUGUCCACCGUGUAGAAGCUCCUUCCGCCCUGUGCCAUCCUGUAGAAACUCUCUCAGGGAUAUAAGUGAAUCUUAUAGCUUUUUGACAUCUCCUUUUGGAUGACCCAUAGCCAUCCCAAACUUAAUAUACCUAAAGUGGAAUUUCUCUCUGAAAACUUUUCUCCUUUUAUUAACCUCUCAAUAUGUAGUAUAACAACCAGACGGUUGCUUAAACUUGAGCCUAGAAGUCAUUCUCCAUUAUGACCCACAUCCUGCCCUUCAAUAAAUCAUGGAUUAGGCCUUUAAGUUAUAUCUUCAAUUCAUUUACUUCUCUUCAUUUCCACUUCUGUCAUCCUAGUCGAGGGCACAGUUGUCUCCCCUGAUAUUAUUGCAGUGAUCUUCUGCUUGUUUUCUAUGUUUCCUCCUCUGUUCUGCCAUAGUCAUUCAUCAUAUAGAUGCAUUUAUGCUUCUUUAAAAUCCUUCAAAAUAUUUCUGGUUAAAUAAAAAUCCAAACUCCUCACGACAUCUCACAAAAUACAAAGGAUUUGAUCAGCCUUUUCCUGAGCAGUUAUCCUGGCCAUGGUUGGCAUAUUACCCUCUUUACUUUCUAGCAAACAUGGAGCUCUUUCCAAUAUGAGGGACUUGCCACCAUGUGGACUGUCUAUCUGCUAGUUUUGUGGUAUAGCUGAUACUCAUGUAUCCUUUAAAUCUUGACUUAAAUAACUCCUCUGUAGGCAAGCUUUCAAUAAUUUUUUUCCAAUUAACUAUGUCUUCAUGCUAUUUACCAUCAUAGUACCUGGCUAUUAUCUUUAUGGAAUUUGAUCAUUUUAUAAUUAUACUUUGUAAUUAUAUAGCUCUUUUUCUGUCUGUCUCUCCACUAGAUUUUAAAAUUUGGAGGAUCUAAACCAUUUCUUUUUUUCUCACCAUUAUAUACUUAUUAAUUAAUGGUGAUGAUCAUGUGUAGCAGGAAUUCAAUACCUUGUUCAUUGAAUGAAUGUAAUUAUUGAAUUAAAAUUACAUUUGGUGUGAUUUCCGAGUGCUAGAAAGACUAUCAUUGUUAAUUUUCUAUUGGUAACCAAAAUCAAUUAGAGCUGUAAUAAUGAAAACAUCGUGGUAUUGACAUAAAAAAAAGACACAGAGACUAAUGGAACAGAAUGGAGUACUGGGAAAUAACCUCAUAAAUUUUCUGCCAACUGAGUCUUCACCAAGGUACCAAAAACAUACAUUGGAGAAAGGACAGCCUCUUCAAAAGUUGGUAUUGGUGUUGGAAAAACUGAAUAUUCACAUGCAGAAUAUUGAAACUUGACCCCUAUCUCUCACUCUAUACAAAAAUCAACUAAAAAUGGAUCAAGUUCUAAAUAUAAGACCUGAAACUAUGAAGCUACCAAAAAUAAAUAAACAAAUAAAUGAAAACCAAAAAAAAAAAAACAUAGUGGAAACACUUCAAGAUAUCAGUCCAGGCAAUGAGCAUUUGAAUAAGAUCCCCAAAGCACAGGAAACAAAAGCAAAACUACACAAACGGGGUCAUGUCAAACUAAGAAGUUUCUAUGCAUCAAAGAAAACAAUCAAUACAAUGAAAAGACAGCCUACAGAAUGAGAAGAAUAUAUAUAUGUCAGAUAUUCAUCUGACAAAGAUUAGUAUCCAGAAUAUAGAAGGAAUUUAAAAAAUGACAACAGUAGUAAACCCCAAAUAAUCCAAUUAAAAAGUGGGUAAAGUAUGAGAAUGGACAGUUUUCCAAAGAAAGAAUUUAAAUGGCCAGCUAAUUUAUGCAAAAAUGCUCAGUUUCAUUAGUCAUCUGGGGACUGAAAAUCAAAAUCUCAGUGAGAUCAUCUCACCCCAGAUAAAACAUCUGUUUAACAAAUGCAGGAGAUGAUGUGGAGUAAAAGGAACUCAUAUAUUCAAUUGAUGAGAAUGUAAACUGGUACAGCCACUAUGGAGAAUAGUGUGAAUGUUCCUCAAUAAACUAAAAAUCUACUAUAUGAUCUGGCUAUCCUACUUCUGAGUAUAUAUCCAAGGGAAAAGCUAUCAGAAUACCAGAGACACCUGCAUGCCAUGUUUAUUGCUGCACUAUUCACAUAGUUGAGAAAUGGAAUUAACCCAAAUGCCCAUCAGCAGAUGAAUGGAUAAAGAAAUGGUGGUGUGUGUGUGUCCACAAAUGCAUACUAUAUACACAGUGAAAUACUACUUGGUCAUUAAAAGAAUGAUAUCCCAUCAUCAUGUUUAGCAAAAUGGACCAAACUGGAGAACAUUAUGUUAUAUGAAAUGACCUAGACACAGAAAAAGAAAUGCUGCAUGGUCUUUCUUAUAUGUGGAUAUUAAAAGAAAUCAAUCAGAAUAUAUAAUAGUGAUUAUUAGAGGCUGGGAAAUUGGGGAGGGAAGGGUAGAGGGAAGUUGGAUGAUUAGUAUACAAUUACAGUAAGGUAGAUGUAAUGAGCUCUAAUGUUCAUAGCACAUGGGGUGACUGUAGUUCACAGUAUCCUAUUAAAUAUUUUAUGAAUAGCCAAGUGUGUGGCACAUGCUUUUAAUCCCAGUUUAGGAGGCUGAGGCAGGAGGAUCUCAAGUGCAAAGCCAGCCUCAGCAACUUAGUGAAACCCGAGGCAAUUCAGUGAGACCCAGUCUCUAAAUAAAAUACAAAAUAAAAAAGGGCUGGGAAUGUGGCUCAGUGAUUAAGUGCCUUUGGGUUUAAUCCCCAGUGUGGGCAGGGGGGUGGGGAAUGAAUAACUCAAACUGAGAAGCUAGAAAGCUAAAAACAAAGUAAAGAUAAGGAGAUAGAAAUGUUAUUUACCUAAUUUGAUCAUCACAUUUUGUAUACAUGUACUGAAAUAUACUCUAACCCAUAAAUGUGUAUAAUUGUUAUGUUAAUCAAAAAAUUUUUAAAGAAUUAAGGAGAUGGAAAUGCUAACAAGCCUAGUUUGAUCAUUGCACACUGUAUAUACGUAAUGAAUUAUUACAUUGUAUCUCAUAAUUUGCAAAUAAAUAAUAAUAAACAUUUUAAAAGCGAAAAUGCUACCUUCAUAUAUGAAAAUGUCAAGAUUCUGUGAUUUGCCAGAUAUUUAGUAGCUAAUGUUUGCCGGCUGAUGACCAGUCCAGCUCUCAUAUAAUAUUAGAACAGAUAAAAGCAGCUGUUAAACUCAUCCUAAGUUGAAAAUAUUAAGUUGAAAGUGCAUCUAUUACAUUUGACCUGCCAAACGGUCUGGCUUAGCAGCACAGUUCACCAUAGAGCACUGGUUGUUGCCCUUGUGAUCAGGGGCAUGACUGGGAGUUGUAACUUACUACUGCUCUUGCCCAACAUUGCAAGAGAAUAUCAUGCCCCAUAUCACUAGCCCAGGAAAAGAUUCAAAUUCAAAAUCUGAAGCAUUGUUUCUAAUGAAUGUGUAUCAGCUUAGCACCAUUUUAAAGCUGAAAGUCCUAAAUCAGGUUAUUGUAGGCUGGGGGCCAUUUAUAGACUGCAGAGGCGAGAUUUGGAACAGUGAGACUACUGAAGAGGCUAUUUUAGUAAUCCAUGGGAUUAAGGUGGCUUGGACCAGGGACAUGACCCUGAAGGUACUAAAAACAAGUGAAAUUCUGGUUAUAUUUUGAAGAUGGAGCUGACAGUCCUUAUACCAGGUUGGAUAUAGGCAUGAGAGAAAGAGAAAGAGUUUCUUAUGCAUAUGUCUGAGAUGUUGUGCUUGGAUCAACCAGAAAGAUGGGUUUGUUGCUAACAGAGAAGGGGAAGCUGCUAGAAGAGCAGGUUUUGAAAGAGUAAUCCAGAGUUUAGACAAGUAAAUGUGAAGAUAACUUAUAACCAUCUCUAUGGAGAUAUCAAGAAAUCAGCUCUAUGUUUUCUCUGAUAUAAGGAGGUUGAAUCAUAGUGGGGUAGGGAGUGGGAGCAU
rnacentral:lncRNA from 1 species